rnacentral:rRNA from 1 species
GCUAAGUGUGGGCCAGCAGCAGCGGUAGUACAGAGGGUGCGAUCGGUGUUCGGAAGUAUUGGGCGUAAAGCGCGAGUAGGCGGGAUGGCAAGUCAGGUGGGAAAGCCCUCAGCUCAACUGAGGAAGUGCGCCCGAAACUACCGUUCUUGAGUGCCGGAGAGGGUGGCGGAAUUCCCGGUGUAGAGGUGAAAUUCGUAGAUAUCGGGAGGAACACCAGUGGCGAAGGCGGCCACCUGGACGGACACUGACGCUGAGACGCGAAAGCGUGGGGAGCAAACAGGAUUAGAUACCCUAGUAGUC